rnacentral:lncRNA from 10 species
GUGGCAAGCCCCCAGAGUCUGUGGCAAAGACUUCAGGUUUCAUCCUGAAGAGGAAGACAGGUCUUUGGAGAGUUUUGAUCAAGGAAGUGAGAUGAAAUAUCUUAGGCUUACAAAGAACUACUCUGACAUCUAAAUGGAAAAUGGACUGAUGAAGCAAAAGAAGCCACAAGGAAGCCAGUUCAGAGGCUAUUGAAAUGCUCCAGCUGAACAGAAUCCCGACAUAAGUUUGGGAUCAUGAACCCAUGACAUCAACAUAGUCAGGUUGAGUAUGAAGAACACUGUGCUGUGGUGACAGGGAGCCUGGUUUUUUCCUGGUUUUGGCAUUAGCUCUAUGUGUGACCUCAACCAAGUCACUCAAGCUGUUACAGUCUCUCUAUGUGGAUGAAAUGAAGGGGUUGAAAUAGCUACUCACUGUAGCUCUGAAUGGCUAUAAUUCUAUGAAACUAGAAAAGAAUAAAAUGUGUUUAUAGUCA